rnacentral:lncRNA from 1 species
GAUUGAAACUAGGCACCUGUAGCCAACAAUAAAACUUAACCUUGCAUUCAUCCUUUUCCUUUGUCUGUUUUUGUUUCUCUCUCCUACACUCUUGCUCCCUGGAAUCACAUUCCUAAAUAAACUACCUGUGUGUACGUGCAAUGAACUAGAUGUGUUCUCCAAAAAUUAAUGUAUUGAAACCCUAAUCCCCAAUAUAAUUGUGUUAGAGAUGGCAACUUUGAGAGGUCAUAAUGGGAUUAGUGGUCUUAUAAAAAGGCACUAGAACGCUUGCUUCCCUUCCCCAGCCAACCCUUCCCUAUCUCUCUUUUCCCACCACUUAAGGAUACAGUGAGAGGGGGGAUGCUUACUAGCCAGAAAGCAAGCUCUCACCAGACACUGAAUCUGCCAGUGCUUUUAGUCUUGCCCUCCCCAGCCUUCAAACUAUGACAAAUAAAUGUUUGUUGUUUAAGCCACCCAGUCUAUGGUAUCUUGUUAUAGCAGCCCCAAAUGACUAAGACAUUAAACCUUUUUUUCAAGCUCUUCAUUCUUGUUAUUUUCUGUUCUUCAGAUGGGAUAAAUAUCAACUGACAUAUCUUCCAGUUUGUUAACUCUUUUUUCCAACUGCUCAAAUCUGCUAUAGAGCCUCUCUAGUUAAUUUUCUAUUUUAGUUAUUGUACUUUUCAGUGCCAGAAAUUCUAGUUAUUUUUUUUAAUACUUUCUAUUCUUUCCUGAUAUUCUCUAUCUGGUGAGAGAUAUUUCUCAUAUGUCCUUUUAAUUUUCAGACAUGAUUUUCUUUAAUCCUUAGCUUGUAAUUAUAAUAGCUGAUUUUAUAUCUUUAUAUUAGGUCUAAUGUUUGUUCUUCCUCAGGGACAGCACCUGUUGACUAACUCUAUUUCCCUUUCUACUGGCCAUACUUUCUCUUUCAUAUGAGUCUCAAUUUUUUUUUGUUGAAAAUGAAACAGUUUAUUUUUUAUUGAGAUAUAGUUAACAUACAAUAUUAUGUCAGUGUCAGGUGCACAAUACGGUGAUUUGACAUUUUCAUACAUAAUGAAAUGAUAACCACAAUCUGUCCCCAUACAAAGUUAUUACACAACAAUUGACUGUAUUCCUUAUGCUGUAUAUUACAUCCCUGUGGCCUACAUAUUUUAUAACUAGAGGUUUUUACCUCUUAAUCCACGUCACCUAUUUCAUUCAAUCCACCAUAGCCCUCUCCUCUGUCAACCACCCAUUCUCUGUGUCUCUGAGUCUGUUUUCUUUUUGUUUUGUUUUCUUUUUUAGAUUUCACAUGUAAGUGAGAUCAUAUGGUAUUUGUCUUUUUCUGUCUGAUUUAUUUCAUUUAGCAUGUUAUCGUCUAGGUUCAUUCAUGCUGUCACAAAUGGCACUGUUAUGGCUUAACAGUAUUCCACUGUAUGCAUGCAUAUAUACCGCUUCUUCUCUAUCUGUUCAUCUAUUCAUGGGCACUUGGCUUGCUUCCGUAUCUUGACUAUUGUAAAUAAUGCUUCAAUGAUCAUAUAAAUGUGGCGUCUUUUCUAAUUUGUGUUUUUUCCCUUUGGAUAAGUACACAGGAGUGGAAUUACUGUAUUAUAUGGUAGUUCUAUUUUUAAUUUUUGAGGAUUCUCCCUACUGUUUUCCAUAGAGGCUGUACCGACUUAAAAUCCCAACAGUGCACAAAUCCGUUUUCUUUACAUCCUCACCAACAUUAUUUGUUCUCUUUUUGAUGAUAGCCAUUCUGACAGGUAUGAAGUAAUAUCUUAUUGUGGUUUUAAUUUGCAGUUUCCUGAUGAUUAGUGAUGUUGAGCAUCUUUUCAUGUGUCUGUUGGCCAUCUGCAUGUCUUCUUUGGAGAAAUACCUAUGCAGCUCCUCUGCCCAUCUUUUAAUCAGGUUGUUUAUUUGUUUGGAUGUUGAGCUGUAUGAGUUAUUUUGUAUUUUGAGUGUUAACCCUUUAUCAAACAUAUCAUUUGCUAAUAUCUUAUCCUAUUUGGUAGACUGCCUUUUUGCUUUAUUGAUGGUUUCCCUUGCUGUGCAAAAUCUUCUUAGUUCAAUGUAUUCCCAUUUGUUUAUUUUUGCCUUUAUUUCCCUUGUCUGAGAAGACAUAUCCAAAAAAUAUUGCUAAGACUUAUGUCAAAGGGCAUACUGCUGAUGUUUUCUUUUAGGAGAUUUAUGGUUUCAAGUGUUACUCUUAAAUCUUUAGUUUAUUUUGAAUUUAUUUUUGUUUAUGGUAUAAAAAGUAGUCUAAUGUUACUCUUUCAUGUGUAGCUGUACAAUUUCCCCAACACCAUUUAUUGAAGAAGUUGUCUUUUCUCCGUUAUACAUUCUUGAUUCAUUUAUCAUAGAUUAAUAUACCAUGUAAAUGUGAGUUUAUUUCUGGGCUCUUUAUUUUGUCCCAACAGUACCACACUGUUUUGAUUAUUGUAAAUGUGACAUCUCUGGAAAUUAGAUUACCACCCUCUGUAGUUUAUUGUUGUUGCUGUUUGUUGUAGUAGUUUGUUUACUGACUUUCCUCAAAUAAUUCUGUAGUGACUGCAUUCUUUGUCAUGUAAAGCCACUAAAGUCUGUUCCUAGUUUGCCUACAGGUCAGCCAAUGACUAGUCAGAAAUUUCCUCAAAUGCCUUAUACCAGUAAGUCUACCAUCAUUUACUAAUUCUAAUUUCAAUAGCCUUUUAUUAUUUUUAGUUACUAGGUCUAAUUGCCAUGUGGUCUAUGAAGCCAGAGUUGUAGUUAACUGGUUGUGUCCAGAGUUUGUGUUGUUAACUUUGAGAAUUACUCAGAAAGUGUAAUUGAGGAGAGAACCCAGAGUAGUAUUGGGGUUUGAUUUAUCUUGCUGAGUUGAGGCAGAGACCCUCCUUAUCCUUAGGAUAAAGAAAUAUACAAGAGAAAAUGAUAGAGCUGGCUGAGCAAGGGUUUCUUCUCCAUAAGUCACAUUUCUGCAUCACUACAUUGUUGUAAUUCCAAUGUUAUAUAACCCAAAAAUGUUACAUAUAAUCAAAAGAGGAAUGGAAAAAUUACUCAAAUGCAAACAAAUAAUGGAGUAUAGUACAUCCAUACAAUAAAAUGCUAUUCAGGAAGAAAAAGAAAUAACUACUAAUACUUGCACCUAUAGGAUAAAUCUCAGUUUUAUUAACGAAAGUGAAAGAUGUCAGAUUCAGAAGGCUACAUAUUCUCUGAUCCCAUUAUGUAACAAUCUGGAAAAGGAAAAAUUAUAGCGGUAGAAAACAAACCAGUGGUUGUCAGGUAAUAGAGGAGGGGGAAGAGUUUGAUUUAAAAGGGAAUGAGGAAACACUGAAAGGGGGAGGGCUAUUCUAUCUCUUAAUUGUGGUGAUGGUUAUGAAACUGCAUUUAUUUGACAAAACGUAUAGCACUGUAUACGAAUUUUAUUGUGUGUAAAUUUAUCUCAACAAUCCUGACUUUUAAAAAUGCUAAAUGGAAAUUAUGUUAUUACCUAUUAUUCAUAAUAGAAUUGAAUCUGAAGAGUCAAUUAGUACUUCUUACAUGUAGAGCCGGCAUUUAUAUUUGAAGAUACUUAGAAUAAAGGGCAUCUGAUGAUCCAAAAUUUAGUGAAAUUUGUGAAAUUUAAAUAAAGUUUAUUCUCAAGCAAGGCCAAUACAUGGAUAAAGCUCAGUUCCUUUUGACAGCUUUCAGUGGGAUCUUUGAUUGACCUGAAACAGAGAUGGAGGCUAUUCAUGUAUUUUUCAUCAGAUUAUUAAGUGACACUGGUAAAUUUGCUUUGGUUAACUGUUAAUAAUUUGAAUACAUAUCAAUCACCAUCCCUUUUCUUUUAUGAUAAUUGAAACUUAUUAAUGAGACAAAUAUAACAGAAUUUAAAAAUUGGUAUUCUCCUAAUUGUUAAACUUGAACAAAAAAUAUGUUUUGAAAGCAUCAAAAUUAAAAUUAUUAUGAAAGAUGAAAAAUUAUUUAAUUUCUUUUUGCUUCAAUUGUGUUUAUCAAUUCUAGCAACUUCCCUUAAGUCAACUAGAUCUCCAGGUCAUGGAGUACAGAGAUACUGUGAGAACCUCUCCCAGUAUAAAACUCACUUUCACUUAGAUACACAAACACAUUUCCCCUCUUGUUUCUAUUAACUUUAGAUAACGUGGUCCGAUACUCUAUCUCUAAUACAAUAUGAGAUUUAGUAUUCUCAUCUUGUAAUUAUUAUCCUAUGGAGAAAUGUCCAGGCAUCAACCUCUACCCCCUUUUCUAAGGUUAAGAUCGUCAUUACUCCCAUUUCAAGCUAAAAUGAUCACCAAACCCCAGCCAUUUGGUGAUAAUUUAACAUUGUAAAGUUAUAUGGAGUCUGUAUGUUGAGAGCAUGUGUUAGCUUACAGAAGAAAUUACUUCUUACUUCAUCCAAAAGGAUAUUACCAAGUCAGUUUUAAAUAGACAACUAAGAAGAUUACAUGGGAUAAAUUUUUUUAAAAAAGGUCAUAACUCUGGCUUAAGCCACUACAUAUAUUUUCCAUAAUGAUUCUCUUAUUAAUUCAUAUUGCAAAAUAUAGCUUUGUAGUAAAGUACUUGCCUGGGACCCAUGAUACAGGCUAAUCAUAGCAAAUUGUAUCUAGAACAUUUACUUUGAGUAAGAAAAUAAAAUAUAUAUUUCAUUUUGCAUAUUCUGUUUCAUGGUGAAAAGUUUGGUAUCUAUUCACACAGCUGAACUGGGAUAUUUUUCAUUUUAUCCUUCGCAGUUUCUUGACUAAUUCUAUAACCUGUUUGCCUGAGUGUCUGUAGUUUUUCUAAGAUUGAGGACUCACCUGUGAAGUUUUGCAAUGAAAGCCAGAUAAUUGUGAGAAUAAUCUAAGUUAACAUUUGCUGAGAAAUUUUACUCUACCCAACACACCAUCAACCUAAGUCAUUUAUAAAUAUUUACUUACAUUCAUUUAUGGAACAUAUAUAAGAUAGCUACUCCUAUUAACUCCAUUUUAAAGUAGAGGAAACCGAGACUCUUAAACGUUCUAUAAUUUGCCUAAUAUGCCUGGAGCUGGGGCUAGAACACAUGUAGUUCAGCUCCAUGGCCAAUCUCCAAUCAUAGUUUAGAACAUUUCUAGUGACCAAGCCUACUCAGUAAUCAGUGUAAUGCCCUUGCGCUCAUCUAUUUGAUUCUGUGUGAGGCUUAGUUUGUUCCACUGCUGCAGAGCAGUUUUCACCCAGAAGAGGUGUUUUGAGAGGGUGAUCCCUAGAUCCUGGAAGCUGUUUCUCCCCUAGGCCUUAUAACAUAGGCAGCAUGGUAACUCAACAAAGAGAACUUACUAAAUAGCUUCUGAUGGUGAAAUUUGUAAGGAAACCCAUAGGAGUAAGAUUCAAUUAAGGAUUUAUAAAGAAAAUUUAGUUUCUCAUAGUAUCCUAUAUCUGGAAAUUAAAGAGUUUUGUUUUUUCGUUUUUGUUUUUGUUUUUACAAAUAUGCUGUGGUGAAAUUAUCAUGAUAUUUAGGGUCAAACAAUCUAAGUUCAAUCAUGAAACUGUUACUAACUUGAGUUAGUGUGACAUGGGAAAACUUACUAAGCUUCAAUGAGAUUUUGUUUCUUCCUCUCUUACCAAAGGAGAUUGAAAUAGAUCCAAAGGUCCUUUUCAGUGUUAAAAUGUUGUUAUACAAUUUAAAAUUUUCGCAACGACUUGAAAAUACUCUAAUUCAAACACACUUUGAAGUCUUGUAGUUAGUAAAUAGGAUUUUAUUUGAAACCAAAAUGCCAUAAUUUAAUUUACUAAAAUUUCAUCUGGACUCAUCCAAAGUCUAGGGAGGAGGUUGGAAAUGAAGACAAACAUAAUUUAAAAUGUAUUUUCAUUCUACACUGGAAAAUAACAAAGAAAAAUCUACAUUUAAAAGAUAAAUAAAUGGAGUUCCCAUCAUGGCUCAGUGGUUAACGAAUUUGACUAGGAGCCAUGAGGUUGCAGGUUAAAUACCUGGCCUUGCUCAGUGGGUUAAGGAUCUGGCAUUGCUGUGAGCCGUGGUGUAGGUUGCAGAUGUGGCUCGGAUCACACGUUGCUGUGGCUUUGGCGCAGACCAGCGGCUACAGCUCCAAUUAGACCCCUAGCCUGGGAACCUCCAUAUGCCGCGGGAGCGGCCCUAGA